UACGGAGGGUGCGAGCGUUGUCCGGAAUCAUUGGGCGUAAAGGGCGCGUAGGUGGCGGGACAAGCGUGCGGUGAAAGCCUGGGGCUCAACCCCGGGUCGGCCGUGCGAACUGGUGGACUGGAGCUUGUCAGAGGCAGGCGGAAUUCCGGGUGUAGCGGUGGAAUGCGUAGAGAUCCGGAAGAACACCGGUGGCGAAGGCGGCCUGCUGGGACAGUGCUGACGCUGAAGCGCGACAGCGUGGGGAGCAAACAGG
rnacentral:rRNA from 1 species